rnacentral:misc_RNA from 1 species
UCUAGCACGUUCAAAAUAAUUAUUUUUAUGGAAUCAGUUAAUUUAAAUUGCGCGUACUUAGUUUUAAAAAUUAAUAUUUCUAAUUAAGUGAUGGUAUUUUUCUUGUUAAGUAAUGGUGUUAUAUGUGUUAUUUAAUUGGUGUUUGGUGGCAACAUUAACAAGUGCUAUUGCCAAAGAUACAGAAACUGUUUCAUGGUUACCACCGUGGUUAAUGGCAGCAAUUAUUGACCAAGACCACACUGGAAAGAUUCGUGUUGAUGAUGGAUGUGAUAUGGUUUAUCACUCAGAUAAUUGUACUAUCCAUUUAAAACCUAUUGGUUCAAGUUGUAAACAAUUGUUAAACUUUCGAAACAUUUUUAAAGACCAAUCAAAACUAGAAGUAUUUUUUAAUUUAACUGAUUCAACAUUUCCAUCUGAUAACUUUUAUAUCUAUAAUGUUAAUGUAGGGUUAUGUAAUAACGACAUAACUUUUAUUACUAAAAAUAUAGUUUCAAAUAACUUUAUUGAUCGAUAUAUCUUACUUUCUGAUGUGAAAAUGGAAAUAGUGUUGAAAGGUUUUGAGAAAUUUGAUCAAUCAAAAAUCUCCAUUCGUGCUACAGGAAAGGGAAUGAUAAAUGAUAAACAGUAUAAAAUUACUAUAACAAAAACAUUUUUUAAUGACUUUUUUAACAUAAAACUAAAUGCACACAAAGUGCAUUUUGAAGAUUUACUUUUCACAUUUAGAAUAGAGAAAAUUUUUUAUAAAGGUUUAUGUAUACUCAACAAAAAAGUUUUGGAAGCAUUAGUUGCAAAAAAAAUUUCUAUUUCUGGAAUUUAUGACUUUAAUAGAGGAUUUUAUUUUUCUGGUAAUGUCAUUUUUGCUGAUCCUCAUUCUAAACGACAUUUUUCAACUGAAAUAAUUGUUUUGCGGGAACCUCAUCAACCCCUAAAAUUUGGGGUUAUAAUCAAAGGGAGUAUUCACCAAAACAUUCUGCCACUGUUAGAAGAUAUGUUAAAAAGAAAGCAAUCAAAUGUACCAUUAAUUGAUGAUGUUGGGCAUGGUUUUUUAAGUAUUUCAAGUCAUAACAUUUUACGAGCUAACUUUGACAAAAAUAUCCGUCCUCGUGCAAUUCCAAAAGGAGUGGUUUUACAAACUAUUUCAAAACUGAAUGAGAUCCAUAAGUCACAGUCUGAAGUUUCUAACAAUGAUACAUUAGGACUGCGAUUGGUAAAGCUAAUUAUGUGCAGUAAAAAAGAUCAAGUUGAAUUUAACCCAAAUAAUAAUAUUGAUUUGCACAAAUUUCUUGGCAGAAUAAGCACUGUUAAGAAUGAUUAUUUUCCAAGUUGGUUGAAAACAAAUGGAAUUGUUUAUGUAAAAGUUGAAAAACUAGAGUACUCUGGACCUAACAAAAGUAACAUACUCUUGAAGCUAAAGCUCAAAACCUCUUUAAAAGUUUUAUUUGGAACAAUAAAAAUUAGUAAAAUAAAUUUUGAUUUAACAAUGGAUAGAAGUCAUAAACCAAAUCAAUGGAUAUGUGGAUUUUCUUCUGUAAAAAAAUCUAUAGGAUCAAUAGAGUUCAAAGUUUCAAUUACUUGUGAUAAAGGCCUCAAGAAUUUCAGAAUAAUUAUUGAAAGUGUUUAUUUGAGAUUCAGUAAGCUCUUGGGGUUACUUCAUAUUGAUAAAAUUCCAUUUGAAUUGAAGAAAAAUACAAAUCAACUCUAUAACUUUGACAUAAAAGCUUUGCGAAUUGAAGAAAGUCAAAACCAGUUCUUGAGACUAACUGGUGUUCCACUUUUGUUUGGCAUGGAAAAUUUAGCUAUGGAAGGUAUAAUUUGGCAGGAAGGAGCUGAAAAAUGGUUUGCAGUUGGUAUUGUUUUGAAAGAUGUUGACUUCAUUGAUAUGUUAAAGAAAUUAACUGGGACAAAAAUAAAUGCAUUUUGGGUUGGAAAAACUACAACAUCAAUUUUGUUGAGUAACACAAAUUCAAGUCCAGCAGUCUAUACUGAAAAUCACAAUCACACAAUUCGAUUGAGAAGAGAUACCACUAAAGAAUACUUUGAUAACACGCAGAAUAAUAAUAUGGCAGCAAACUCACUGUUAACUCAGCCAAACUAUGGACAAUAUUUUUCAGAUUUCCUUCAACAUAAUGAAGUUGCUUCUCCAAGUUCUCAGAAUACAUAUUUAAAUCCUUACAUAGAGCCUCUACAACAGCAAAUUCCUCAGCAAGUUUCAUUUUUUAAUUCAAAGUUUGAGUCAAAUUCAGAUUUUCUUGAUCCGAAAAGGGUAAAUGGUUUCAAUAUUAUGAAUACAUUGUCUGGUCAACCAAUUGUUUCGUUAAACACAUUACCUGGUCCAUCUAUCACUUCAACAAAUACUUUGCCUCUGCAACAAAGUACAAUGCCUGGUCAACCUAUCAAUUCAGUAAAUAUUUUUGCAGACCAUCAAGUGAGUACACCUUCAUCAGAACACAUUUCCUCAAUGCCAAGUUACACACCGGCCAGUGGUAACCUGGAAAAUUUAAAGCAAGAAAAUUUUUUAAAAGGUGUAUUUUCUGGUUUAAAUAAAAUGCCAUCAUCACCUUUGUUAAAAGAAAAUGACUUGAAUAAUGGAUCACCUGUUCCCAUAAAUAAAUAUCCUAACUCAGCCAGUUUUGGUCAAAAUGUUGAGUCACUGCCGACAUCUGGUCCAAUAACAAUAUCUCUUGCAAAUCCAUUUCUUUAUUCACAAAAUAGUUUUUUGCCCACAAACUUUGUCUACCAGCCACAACCAUCAAGCUUAACAUUCAAUAAAAAUAGUAUUGCUCCUACAGUCUCAAUUAUGAAUAGUUUAAUGGAAGCAUACCAUAAAAUUAAUAUGCAAAAAAUGAAAGAAAAUCAAAAUCAGGCAAAAAAUAUUGAGGCAGGAAUUAUAGAUAUGAUGGCAGAUAAGCGUUCUUUACCACUUAGUAUCCAGGAUCCCCUAGUUCAUAAUAAUUUGUAUGAUAUAUUUAUGAAUAAUGCUGAUGCUAUGAUGAGGAGCUUGAGCUUUUCUAAAAAUUUAGUUACUCAUGAUGACAAACGAAAAUCUAAAAUUCCUAAACCUGAUUCAUUGAAAGCUAAACACAGUAAGCCUUUAAAAACAUCAAAAAAUAAAAGUUCAUUUAUGAAAAAAAGAAGAAAGAAGUCUGUAAAAAAAAAGAAUGUAUUACGAAAGAAUUACAGAAAUAAAAAAAGAAGUGAAAUAAAACACAAAGACAUAAAAAAUAAUGUAGCUGAUUUAAAACAUAAUAAAAAUGACAACUUGACGAGUUCUAAAAUAAAAAACAAAAUACAACAAGAUGUUGAUAACAUUACAAAUGUUUCACUAAGACAUAAUUUCUCUCUUCUACCUCACACAACGUUUAAUGAUUCAUCUUUUAUUUAUAAAUUGUCAUCUCAGCCUUCUUCUAUCAAAAAAGCUUCUAAAGUAUUAAAAAAUGAGCAAGAGAAAAUUUCCAAAAAAACCAAAACACUUAAGCAAAAUGCUUCUGUUGCUCGUGAUUGGGUAGAAGUACAUAUACCAGAAACUGCAGAAGAUUUCUUUAACCCAUCAGCAAACGAAGAUGAGAAUGUUCAUUUUUUUAAAAACAAAACACCUGUUGUGAUAAAUGAUUUGAUUGGUUCAUUUGCAGAAUCGAUUGCUAAAUCCAAAUCAUCUGAUAAAGUUUUUUUUAAUGAAAGACUUGGUCUUUCUCGACCUAACAUUACAGGAUUGAAUGAGCGAGCAAACAUCAGUGAUAAUAGCAGAGAACAACAAAUAACUAAUGAGGUUCCAGAAGAAAUGCUUCAUAAUAUUUCAUUUUCAAGUGUUGUGAACAAUUCAUUGAUUGACCACAAAAGUUUUAACAAAAACACUACUCAAGAACUUCAUUACAAUUCAAAAAUAAAUACAACAACAGAAAUCGAUAGUGCAACACUAGCUACAUUCAAAAUCAUUAAUGAUAAAGUAGAUUUAACAGAUAAUCAUAAAAAAAGUCUCAAAUUUAUUAAUGAAUCUCACCAACCACUUGAAUCUAUUGAGCAAAAGAGUUUACAUGACGUGAUUUGGUUUGGUUCAAAGUACAGCACUGACCCUGAAGUUUUUGACAAGUAUAACCCAAAACUUAAUUAUUUACAUAAUAACAGCAUUGUUAAUAAAACUUCAGAUAAUAUAAAUCAUCCAAAUACUAAAAUUGUAAAUGAACCAUCUAAACAUUUGCAGCAGUUUACUGACAUUGUUCCAGAAAGUUCGAUAUUAACAUCACCAACAAGUUCAUUGACAGUAAAGGUACUUAAAUCAAUGAAUACUAAAAGUAAUCCUAAGAAAAACAUCAAGUUAUCUUCUGGAAAGGAUAACAUUAAUAUAUCUUCUGAAAAGAAUAACAUCAAGAUAUCUUCUGGAAAAGAUAACCUCAAUAUAUCUUCUGGAACAAAUAAAUCUAAAAAUAUAAUAGCAGUAAAGGAUGAUGUAGAUGAUAUUGAAGUUAUAACAAAUCCUGGUAUUCAUAAUCAUUCAUUGAAAUCUGGUCAUCCAAACAUUUUUAAACUUAGUUUGACUGAUGGAGAUAUAGAUGACUUAAGGAGUAUUAGUCAAAAAUUGAAAAACAAAUCAUCUGUUACCAUAGAUACAAGUAAUAAUUCUAUUAUUAAAGCAGAAAGCAACAUUACAGUAUUGAAUAGAUCAUUAUCAAUUGAUAAUGAAAAUAAACUGUUUUUAAUAAAUACCGAUGUAAAACGCAUAAAUAAAACAAUAGAUAAUAAAAUAAAAAAAAAUGAUUCUAAAAUUAUAGCCAAUAAAGUACAACAAACAACUGAUGAUGCUCAUAGACUAAACAAGGAUAACUUCAGAAAAAAUAAACCAGAUACUUCCAAUGUUACUUCUAAUGAUGUUUCCAAUGAUGUUUCCAAUGAUGCUUCCAAUCAGAUACCAGAUGCUUCCAAUCAAAUAAACAAUGGUUCCUUAGCUAUUGAGAUUCUUAAAGACUUACUUGAAAACAAUAGAAAUUUUAACAAUGAAAGUAUUGCACCAAACGGGACUGCACCCAAACCUGAAAAGCUCCGUGAAAAAUCAAAUUCAGGACCAAAUGAAACCAAAUUAAUGCCCAAACCUUCUAAUUCUGGACGAAUUGAGCAAUCCCAAAAUUCCACUAAAGACAUACCUAAAGAUAAAAAAUUAAAAAAACCUAUAACAUUAAAAGAUAGAAGUAGUUUUGUCAGUCUUAAUGAAUCAUCUCUGAACAACAGCAGUAAUUUUUCUGACAGUUUUUAUAUAUUGAUUGAUAAUAAAACAGAAUUUAAUAAUAGUAUAAAUAUUUCAAAAAUAAUAUAUUUUGAUCCUGCUAAUAUUUCAAGUCAAAGUAGUGAAAAAACAUCUAAUAGUAACAUUAUUGGACAAGAUGAAUAUUUUUCAAAUAUGAAAAGUGAUGAAGAAGAAGAAAAAGAAGAAGAAAAAGAAGAAGAUGGAAUUAUCUCCAAUGAAAUUGAUCAAAACAAAAUUAAAUCAAAAGAAACACCAAUUUAUAACCAUACUUUGAGUUCUGACAAUGAUCAACCUCUAACACAAAAAAGUUCAGCUAUUCAUAAUGAAAAUAAAUCUAUAAACCAUUAUGAUCUUUCACUUGACAAUCAAAGUAAAGAAUACUCUUUCAAAAAUGAAUCUGAUGGUGAUCCAAUAGAAGAAGUUGAACAUGAUUUUGAUGAAAUAGAUUUAGUUAAGAAGUCUGACCCAUCUAAAAGUAUGCAAGCAUUACACGAUGAUUCUGAUGAUACCCCCUCUGUUAUUGAUGACAGCAGUGAAGAUGUUUAUGCUAAAAAAUUACACGAUUAUUUAUAUAAUAACCAGUAUAAGGAGUAUGAAGAUAAAUCCUCGGAUGAUCACAGUCAAGUUAAUGAAUACCUAAAUGGAGAUACUGAUAACUUAGACAAUAUUGCACAAAUUGUUUCAAUGUAUAAAAGUAAAUUGAAACAUGAAAGUGCAACCAAAUUUUUGGAGAUAAAAAAAAAGAAAAAACCGAGAAGUAAAAAUAAAAAGUUGUAUUUAGUCAAAAAUAAAAAACUACAAGUUGUUAUGGAAAUUCGACCAGAUAGCAAAAGCAACAAAAUAUCCGUUGAAACUCAAGGCAUAGAUAAUUUGUUUCACCCAUUUAUUGACAACAAGUUUUCAAUCAACAGAAAAAAGUUGCUCAGUAACUUUUCUGGUGAUCAAUUAGACAGCCAUAAUUUUAUAAUGAGAAAGUAUCCAGCAAUAGCUCCUUAUAAAAAAGUUAGUACCAGUAUAUUAAAAUCUAACAAUGAAAAAAAUAAUCAUAAUGAAUUUUACAGCAAUUUCGCUAAUUCGAAAAAAAAGAUUUUGCUUGAUGUUUUAAAGCAUCUCAAUCGAAAAAGGCAUCAAAAAGAAUAUCAAAAUUCUAAAGAAAAACUUCUUAAGUCUAGUCUUCACAGAUGGAACAGAAAACUUUUUAACAAACCAAAAAUAAGGCAAGAUCUUCAAUCAAAACUAAGUUUUUUAAAAAAGUUUAAUCUUUUUGCAAAAGAACUAAAUAAAGGUAAAUUUACAAAACACUGGAAGGAUAAAGCUGAUAUAGAUGGAGGUGUUGAAAAUAUAGUCACAAGUCAGUUUAAUAGUUUAAAAAAGAACGAUUUUGAAAAAUUCUCUGAUCAAGACACACAAAAAAAGAAUAAGUUAAAUCAAACAUAUGUUGAUGUAACAACUGACAGCGACCCAUUAGAGAUAUUUCAAGGAAGCAAGUUUGAGGGUAGCCAUUUAUUGAGCAAUGCACAGAAAAAAAAUGUUCAAGUUCGAUUGAUCAAUAGCUCAAGCACUCUUUAUCCUGUUAUUGAUGAUUCUGUAAGAAAUGAAGUUUCGAGUGCUUUAACUGAAGUUACUAAAUCUAAAAAAAAAAAAAAUUUCAAUGAUUACAUUCAUGAUAAGUUUCAUGAAACCACAACAUCAGAUAGUUAUAAAAUGUUCUCUAGCAUACCCAAUGCUUAUGACUUAAAUAAUAAGGCGUUAAGGAAUCAGCAUCCAAUUAUUUACAAUGACUCAAUAGUGGAAUUUUUUAAAAGAAACUCAAUUCCCAUUAACAAUCACUCUCUAGAUCCUGAUGAUGUUAUUAGCAUAUUCAAGCUCGCAGAACUUGAAGAUCAAUUAGAACCAUUACCAUGGUUACAUGGGACAAACAAUACAAAGUUCUUAAAUAAGUUUUUUAAAGUGAAGUUAAAAGACAAAAAAGUAAAAAAAAUGGCUGCUUAUACAAAGCACAAGAAAAUCAACAGAGCUCAUAAUUUUUCUUCUCAUUAUUUAAGCAGCAAAAAAAACUUAACACUUGAGUACAUAAAUUCUUCAACUCACCUCAUUUCACCUAUAAAAGAAGCAAUCAAGAAAUAUCUGUCCCAGCACUCACAGAGUGAAGUCAUGACAAACAAGAAAACUAGUUUAGACACAGAAACUAGAAAAAUCAAGGAUUCUCAACGAGCUAAUGAAACCAUAAAUAAAAGUAAACAGCAGUUUUUGGAAGAGUUUGCAGAGAAGAAUUUGAAAGGAAUAGAUGAAAAAAUUCUUCAGUUGAAAAAUAAUCUAGAAACUGUUGCAUAUGAAGAUGCUGAACAAAGAUUAACAUUCAAAGAUAUCGAAAGGUUGAAGGGAAUCACUGACAAGAUAAAUGAAUUUAAAAUGAGCUUAAAUAAUGACUUAGCAGCUAACACAACAUUGUCUAAUAAAACAGCAUUUAAAAAGGAAAGUGCAAAUGAAAUUUUAUCUUCUGGAAAUAAGUUUUCAUGGAAUAAUACAUGGUCAAAUAACAGUAAUAAUUUUUUAGAUAGGUCUGAAUCUCCUCGCUCUCUUUUUUUGAAGAAAAAGAAAAAUUAUUUUUCAUUUAAAAAAAAAAAAAUUAAUAAUAAUAAACCAAGUUUGCUAAAGAAGAAAAAAAAUCAUGUUAAAUUACAGGGAGCUGAAAGCAAAAAGUUUCAAAACAAAAACCAUAAAAACUAUGAUAAUCACAAAAACCUCACAAAGACCACAGUUUACAAUUAUGAUAAAAAAUUUCGAAUGCAAGAUCUGAAGAAUAUAACAAUUGUCGAAGGAGUUUCAUUAUAUACCACUGUGCUUCAGUCAGACUUUUGUCGUGAUGGCGAUGAACUUUGUUUACUUAUUAAAAGAAAUGUUAUUAGCAAUGCACCAUUAUAUUUGAAAGGAGUUUUUGUGUCAGGUGAAAUCGAGUUAACUGCACCUGUUCCUGUGACAAGUCAGUUUACAAAGACAUGGAGCAUCGAAUUUUUACAGUUAGUAAUGCAAAUCAAAAAAUCAUCUUCUUAUGUUUUUGUAAGAGCCGAGCUUGUGUUCAGAGAUGAAAAUUUGAGGUUUAACGGAAAAAUAGCUUUAGGAGCAAAUGGUCUUCAGCUAUCUAUGAGUAUGAAGGACCAAUGGAGACAACCAUUUGGUGUUGAUUAUAUUGUGAUUAACAACCCAAUAUUUACCACUAGCUAUAAUGUUGAUUCUCUCUCAUAUUUUGAAAUGAAAGGGAAUUUUUCAUUGGGAAUUAUUGACUCCAAGAACGCUUUGAAAGGCGAGCUUCAUAUUGGUUACAAUCCAAAUGAUCCCUCAGCAAAUUAUUUUUAUGGUGAAAUAAAUACUCUAACUGUAAAAAAUUUGUUAAAUGCAUUUAACAAAACAGUAAUGCUUCCGCAGGUUAUUGAAAGUUCUUACUUUCCACAUGGCUUACUUGUUUCUUACAGCUCAAAUCCUAAUGGUUACAGAAUAGUUGAGAGAAAGCUAAAGAUUGACUAUGGGUUCAUGCUUUCUGGUUACAUUAAUUUUAUUGGUUAUAAAGUUUUUUGUGUUAUCAAGAUUACUACAGCCGAAAUAACUAUGACUAUUUUAAUGCCAUCAAUGGAAUUUGGUGGUGGGUUUGUACAAAUGCAAAGCAGUGAAGAUGACUUGACCCAUGGACCUACUAUGGUACUACAUAUUGCAAAAGAUGAAGUCUUAGUUCAAGCAGUUGGUGAAGCAAGUAUGCUGGGAGUGCAUGGACCAUCAUUGUUGUUAAUUUCAAAUGAUACUUUUAAGCUAAAGAUGAAGGCAAAUUUUUAUGAUUUAAUAGAUGGAACUUUAUUGCUUGAAGCAGGGACUGAUGAAGGGCUAUCAUCUGCCAAGUUCAGGCUUGAUUCGUGUUUAAAUAUUAAAGAAGAAAAGUUGAAAGAAGCAAUAAUCAAUAGAAUAAAUUCAAUCAUUGAAAAUGGAAACUCAACUCUUCAAAGAGCUAUUGGGAAGCAUGAAGAGAUUGUUGCAAUGUUUGAUCGCACAAAGGAGACAUUAGAAGAAAUGAAAAGAAUUAUCAAUGAUAAAGAAAGAGAACUUUUUUCAGACUCACAUGAUAUUGUUGAAAGUCAAAAGCUUAUAGCAACAAAUUGCUUUCAAAAAUGUCCAAAAGUUUGUCAAAGUGGUUUUACUUUCAAAAAGAAAUGCACCAAAGUUUUGCACAGAUGGAUAUCAUGUAGAAAAUUUGAAGAAUGCUACAGAAAACGACCACAAAUUGAUUGUGUUCUCGACUGUGAACAAAAAAAGUUUUUACAAAAAGGUUUUAAUUUUGUGACAAGGAAAAGAGCAUUGAAAAAUUUCUUGGCUUUGAAAUCUCAAUGGAAAAAUUUAUUCCUUUAUGAAAGCUUACUGCAAAAAAUCCCAUUAAAAAUGGCUGAAGAACUUGUGUCUAGCGUUAGAACAGAGGUGCAUGUAGCAGACAAAGUUGUUGACUUGCUUACAUUAACACCUGAAAAUGAUAUCUUCAGGUUCCAACAUUUUUGCAUUUGGGGUAAUUUAGCAGAACUUAAUGACUUUUGUGUUGCUUUUAAUAUGAGCAUAACACUUUUAAAACAAGAUAUGUCUAUGUCUGAUAAUCUCUGCAUCAAUGAGAAAGUAUUUGUUACUUUGGGUGCUGAUGUGGUCAAUAAGCAAUAUCCAGAAGUUGUUGAAAUGGAAAAAGUAUUAGUUUCAAAAGAAAAAGAUUUUGAAAAACUUAAACAUGAGAAGAUAAAAAUUGACAAACUUCUUACAAACCUGAGAAGAAACUUUAACAACCAAGAAGUUACAGCUGAUUUUAUGGAGCAUUAUUAUCUCCCUAAUUCAAAUGAAGAGUACUUUAACAGAAUUAUCCGCAGCUCAGUUCCUGGAUAUUUGUUUCAUCCUGAUAUUAUAUUCAGUUUAUAUGGGCCUAGAAAAGAAUUUUCCACAAGUUACACAUCUAACAGUAGUUUACAUAGAAAAACAGUCAAAAAAAGCUGUGAUGACUACUGUUCUUGUCUUACUCGAACUAUACACAUUUACAAUGAAAUUGCAAAUGGUUUAAAUACUGUUCUAUCAUCUGUAAAGCAAGAAAAAGAUUUUCACAUUAGAACAAGAGAUAAACUAAAAAAGAUUUUCCAUUCAAAUAUUUCUUGUAUGUGUUUGUUAACAUUAAUUAUGAGGUUGCCCAGAAUUUGCUAAAAAAUCAAGCUAUGAAACACAGAAGUUUUUAGAUUUACAAUCAUCUUUGGACAGAAGCUAUCGACAUUGGUUGAAUGUAACUUUUAAACAGCUUGAUGAAUAUGAAAGAAGUGUUGUUCCUGACUAUAUCAGCCAAAUUUCUGAUAUUUUUCCAGAUAGUGAUCUCCAGUCUUUUCUUAAUAGACUAAAUCAACAAGCUAAGAGUAGUGUUAAAAGAUCGGAAAUUUCUGGGAGAACAAAAACUAUGGA